CUGCCCUGGGAUUUCGUUACC
rnacentral:miRNA from 1 species